rnacentral:rRNA from 1 species
GAUGAACGCUGGCGGCGUGCCUAAUACAUGCAAGUCGAGCGAACGGACGAGAAGCUUGCUUCUCUGAUGUUAGCGGCGGACGGGUGAGUAACACGUGGAUAACCUACCUAUAAGACUGGGAUAACUUCGGGAAACCGGAGCUAAUACCGCAGAAUAUUUUGAACCGCAUGGUUCAAAAGUGAAAGACGGUCUUGCUGUCACUUAUAGAUGGAUCCGCGCUGCAUUAGCUAGUUGGUAAGGUAACGGCUUACCAAGGCAACGAUGCAUAGCCGACCUGAGAGGGUGAUCGGCCACACUGGAACUGAGACACGGUCCAGACUCCUACGGGAGGCAGCAGUAGGGAAUCUUCCGCAAUGGGCGAAAGCCUGACGGAGCAACGCCGCGUGAGUGAUGAAGGUCUUCGGAUCGUAAAGCUCUGUUAUUAGGGAAGAACAUAUGUGUAAGUAACUGUGCACAUCUUGACGGUACCUAAUCAGAAAGCAACGGCUAACUACGUG